GGCUUCAACAACCCCGUAGGUGGGGACACACGGUCAGCGCACCUACUGGAGCC
rnacentral:sRNA from 12 species